rnacentral:rRNA from 1 species
UACGUAGGGGCAAGCGUUGUCCGGAUUAUUGGCGUAAAGAGCGUGUAGGCGGCUCGAUAAGUCUGCUGUGAAAGUCCAGGGCUCAACCCUGGAAGGCCGGUGGAAACUGUCGGGCUAGAGUCCGGAAGAGGCGAGUGGAAUUCCCGGUGUAGCGGUGAAAUGGCGCAGAUAUCAGGAGAACACCAAUUGCGAAGCAGCUCGCUGGGACGUAACUGACGCUGAGACGCGAAAGCGUGGGGAGCAAACAGG